rnacentral:rRNA from 1 species
CACAAUGACUCUCGGCAACGGAUAUCUCGGCUCUUGCAUCGAUGAAGAACGUAGCGAAAUGCGAUACUUGGUGUGAAUUGCAGAAUCCCGUGAACCAUCGAGUCUUUGAACGCAAGUUGCGCCCGAAGCCAUUAGGCCAAGGGCACGCCUGCCUGGGUGUCACA